rnacentral:rRNA from 1 species
UACGUAGGGGGCUAGCGUUGUCCGGAAUCAUUGGGCGUAAAGAGCGUGUAGGCGGUCCGGUAAGUCCGCUGUGAAAGUCGGGGGCUCAACCCUCGAAUGCCGGUGGAUACUGUCGGGCUAGAGUACGGAAGAGGCGAGUGGAAUCCUGGUGUAGCGGUGAAAUGCGCAGAUAUCAGGAGGAACACCGGUGGCGAAGGCGGCUUGCUGGGCCAGUUCUGACGCU